UUGUGUGUGAACUAAACGUGG
rnacentral:miRNA from 1 species